CAGGGAUUGCCCCAGUAACGGCGAGUGAAGCGGCAAGAGCUCAAAUUUGAAAGCUGGCUCCUUCGGGGUCCGCAUUGUAAUUUGCAGAGGAUGCUUCGGGAGCGGUCCCCAUCUAAGUGCCCUGGAACGGGACGUCAUAGAGGGUGAGAAUCCCGUAUGGGAUGGGGUGUCCGCGCCCGUGUGAAGCUCCUUCGACGAGUCGAGUUGUUUGGGAAUGCAGCUCUAAAUGGGUGGUAAAUUUCAUCUAAAGCUAAAUAUUGGCCGGAGACCGAUAGCGCACAAGUAGAGUGAUCGAAAGAUGAAAAGCACUUUGAAAAGAGAGUUAAAAAGCACGUGAAAUUGUUGAAAGGGAAGCGCUUGCGACCAGACUCGCUCGCGGGGUUCAGCCGGCAUUCGUGCCGGUGUACUUCCCCGCGAGCGGGCCAGCGUCGGUUUGGGCGGUCGGUCAAAGGCCUCUGGAAGGUAACGCCCCCUCGGGGGCGUCUUAUAGCCAGGGGUGCAAUGCGGCCUGCCCGGACCGAGGAACGCGCUUCGGCUCGGACGCUGGCAUAAUGGUCGUAAGCGACCCGUCUUGAAACACGGACCAAGGAGUCUAACAUCUACGCGAGUGUUCGGGUGUCAAACCCGUGCGCGAAGUGAAAGCGAACGGAGGUGGGAACCCGCAAGGGUGCACCAUCGACCGAUCCUGAAGUCUUCGGAUGGAUUUGAGUAAGAGCGUAGCUGUUGGGACCCGAAAGAUGGUGAACUAUGCCUGAAUAGGGCGAAGCCCGAGGAAACUCUG
rnacentral:rRNA from 1 species